UCCCAUCUCUUAAAUAAAAAGAAUUUUUUUUUUAAAAGAAGUCGUACAUGUGCAAUGGCUGCAACAGCAGCUUCCUUGGUAGUGUGUGCAG
rnacentral:snoRNA from 1 species